CGAAAAAUUACGAAAGAAGUAAAAGAAAAGAAAUAAAAUGAAAUUAUAAAAGAAAAUGGAAAACGGAUCAAUUAAACGAGCAAGUAAAAUAAUAGUCGAGCGAUCGAUCGAUGAUAAUAAUCGAUUUUUAACAACAAAGCAGGCAAUUGUUUGUAAACUAACUAAGCACUCGAGCUCGUUUGGUCGUGGUAUAUAGAUAGAAAAGAGACAGAAGAUAUAGAGAGGCAGGUAGAUUAUAGGUGAGGUAGAAGUGACGUGAUUACCGAUGCACACAACACGCGCUAUUGCUCACCAAUUGGGCGCAGUACGGCACCUGCAAGGAUACCCAUCGUUAGGCUAUCAGAAAAUGUACAAAUUUUCACCCGUCGUACAAGACCAUAACACACGCUUGGAGAUGAUAAAAGCCUCGAAUUUCAAAAAAAAAAGCUAGCGAGCGAGCGAGCGAGCGAGCGAACGAGUUUUCAAGAUUAUUAUUAAUCGACAUCAGCUUUUUAUUUGUACACAGCUCGAUCGUAUCGUUAUAAAUCGGGGGAUUAUUAUUCGUGCAUACGUCAACCGUGUUCGUUCCUUCGUUAAUAUGAUUUCUUUACUUCUUUGGGUGGUGGUGGGGGGGGGAUUUAAACGAACGAACACUGGCCCAACGUAUACGAGACGCGGCCAAUUUAAAAUGUACCAAAAAAGAGAAAAAUAAAAAAAAAAAAAAUAAAAGGUAUACAUAGAUUAAAAAACAAAAGGCACAAAAUUCAAGUAUUCAAGCUAGCUUCGAGAAUUUUCAUCGCCGUAUUUGCAUACAUACUCUUUUUCUCUUUUUUUGGCGGUUUCGUAAUUAUACGACAAAUAAUCAUUUUUACAGCGAUAUAAAUAAUAAUCCAUAUGAAUAUCAAUAAUAAUAAUAAUAAUAAUAAUAAUAAUAAUAAUAAUAAUAAUAAUAAUAAUAAUAAUGCAGCCGAGAAGAUUAUAACAUAACAAAUAUACUGGCGCGACGAAAUAGGUGGGCCCCACACGCCACGAGAGAAGAGAUUUCUUUAUUUUAUAAUUCUCUCUUUUCGAUUAAUUAUUCAUUACAUUACUUAUCACUUCCGUGAGAUAUUAUUUUUUCUGAUAUUUCCGUCUUCAUAAUUUUCGUCUCUCUUCUCUCGGCGUUACAUAAACAAAAAACAUAUCAAGAUUAUGUCAGCUUAUAGCUCUGCAAACUCGAGUCGCGUUUUACGCAUCGCAAA
rnacentral:lncRNA from 1 species